GCACCUUCACGUUGGAGUACAUGAUUUCGUCCAUGCAGCGAGAGAGCAAAUUAAGUUUCAGGUGCACAGCGCAUCCCGGGUGUAAGCGAUAUCGGCAAUGCGGUUUGGAAAGCGCUGGAGGCAGGGCUACCCGCACCCACCGGGGCGCAACUGUACUUUCUAUCCGCGUUUCUGACUGCAGCUCCAGCGGAGCCGGAACGACGAGACAUUCUGCAGGUCUUUUGCAAGGUGUUGUGCGCGCUGCAGUCGGCCGGUCCGCGUCAUCGCUGCACUUCCGCGGGAAGCAGUGGUGUUUGGAUGGAGUGAAGAGCUUUCAAUGAGAAACUGUCGCGGCUGACGCUGCGGUUCCUCCUCCAGGACAUACUCGUACUAAGAGAUGUGAGGCGAUCUAACUAUGUGCGCAGACGCGCAACAGAGGCGGUUGGAAAGGAAGACUAUCGUGCGUUGCCGAAGGAAUUGUGGCGGGAAGUCUUUUUCCAUUUCGGCAAGGUGACGCAGACGCGGCUGCGUGCCGUCUGCGCCACCUGGAACCUGAUCCUGGAUUCGCCGGUUCUCGCUGUCUGCAUCGUUCUUGAGCG